GUACUGUACAGGCAGGCGGGGUGGGGGGGGAGGACCGAGCAGCACCACAGAAAGCAAAUAAACGCUGUAGAGUUCCCCUGCAGACCGUGGCCAUGGCUUUGGCAGUCCCUGGCAGACACGGCGCUCCCGUCUCCUCACACCUGAUAGCGGACUGAGAGGGGGAGCGAGCACCAGGGAGAGAGCUGCGCCGUUUCAGACGGUUAACCACCAGGACUCGCUUUUAUUUCCAACGUGUCUGAUCUGCUUUUUUUUUUUUCUUCUUCACGUGUUAAUCCGGCUGCUCCAUGUUCAUUUUAUGUUGACGGCACAGGAGGCGGGUUUCUUCCACGAGUCGAGCAUUGGUGAGUGUGUCAUUUUAUAGCGAAAUACAGUGAGCUGGUUUCUUUAUGAGGCAGCGGUACAAAGCCAGUGCUGUCCUCACGUCAACCCGGGCGCUGCGCCGGCCCGCUUACAGCACUGUACCCAUAGGUUAAUGCAAAGACACGCAGUGGACUGUGUGCACCUCUACGUGCCAUCUGAGAAAGUGACCCGCAUGACUGCCAUGUGCUUCUCUUACUGUCGUUUUGUUCAAGGACCUGGGUCAGGUAGGGCUGAGUUCAUGGCUAAGGUUGGAGCUAUAUGAUCAACGCAAUAAGAAACCUGUUAACCUACACCCUGCCCUACAUGGCUGCACAGUCUGGACGGACCGUGAGAGAUGACACCUCACUAGGUACAGAGAUAGAGCCUUGUGCCAAGAUCUAGGAACUAAAUGUACAGUAUCCUAUAUAUUUCUAUGCGUAGCCUUGUCAAUGUGUGUGAUUAAGUGGGCAGGCACUGUCCACAUUCCUUAGCUGUGACAUAUCUGAGUAGGUCUGUGUGAGGGGGAAAGUGUGCCAAAGUGUGCUUAAAGUGCUCCUGGAGACUUGAUUUAAAUAAUGUAUGUGUUACAGCACAGCAUGAAAUAUGAAAUGUUGUAUUCAGCCUACAGCUGCUCUUGCAGGCUAAGGCGUGGUGUAGCUGUGUGAGACUGUGUGUUGAGUUGCACCUAUUAUUAAAUAGCCUUUCUAUAUUUGUGUGUGUUUAGUGAUUCAGCUACAGGUAUGGUUGAGAUGAGGAUGUGAUAAACAGCUAAAUUUCAAUUCAAGGUUGAGAGACCAAGCAGACUCGAGUUAGUGACAGUGUUGCAGUUGAGGAUGUGCUCGGGGUGACCUCUGAGCAGCACGCAGGUGUCAGUCUGGACUGAGAAUAAUUAACAAGUUAUGCAUAUGAAUUAUCUACACAAUGCAGCAACAGUUUUGCUUCUUUGGACUGGCAGCGUGCAUCAUGUGCAGCUUCAUGACCCAGUUUCGGUCUUCAUUUUUCAACAUCUUCUCAUUGAGAAAGGAAUCGUAUGUGCAUGCAUGAAUGUAGCGUGUUCAAAUUGCGGGCGGGGACAUGGCGAUGAAAAGGCUCAUAUAACUGGGAGUAAAACAAUGAAUGAAUGUGGUACCAAAAAAGAUAUUUCCCAUGAGUGCAGGAGACGGGGCACCAUAAAAUUACACAGGAAGCACUCUCACUCGUGUUGUUUACAAGUAUUUCCCCCAGUAACCCAGUUAUGAGUUAGGAAGCCAGCAGUUUUAUUAGUUUUCAGGAGCCUCUCAAAGAUUUAUUAGUAUGUAUGAGUUCUUCCAUCAGCCUUGUUUUCUUAUAAGAAAGGGGAAUUUGCCAAGCAAGAACCGACACACAGUAAAUCUUUUUGAAGGUGUAUAGUGAAAAAAUAAAAAAGAGACCUGUCUUGUAGUUUAAUUCAACCUGUCAGGAUUUAUCUAGCAACAUAGGGUUAGAAACAUAUAUCAUUUUAACAUGUAUAUUUGGUCUUAAAGAAACACCCUGUACAUGUAUGUGCAUAUACAAACAUACAAAGCCAUAAUCCCUGCCUGCAGCCAGACGUGACCUCUUUUGACGUCCAUUCCUAACACUCCCCCUCACCACCACCCCUCCCUCCAACCACCACCGUUCCCAGCUCAUUGCUGCGAGGCAGCGUCCUGGUUUUCUAAGGUUGAGGCUUAAUGUAUAGCAAAGCAGGAAGGGAGGGCUGGGGAGGGGACUGAGUGAGGAAGGGGGAGGGGGAGAGACAGGAAAGGAAAAACCUGUCUCUCUCCUUCCCUCGCCGGCCUUAGUCUGAGGGAAAUCAGUUACAUAACAGGGGCUGUGGAGGCAGCCGCUGCCCCAGUCCCCGAGGUCCCACCGCCUGCUUACAUCACAAACGUAUAGACAGAGGGGGGAGGAGCCUAUAGUCAGCUAUACAAUCAGCAGUUCACAGAAAUACUCAGUUUGUACCCAUAUUUAAUAGGGCCUGAGUGUUAUGCACAUUUUCCAACCUAUCUAUCUAUCUAUCUAUCUAUCUAUCUAUCUAUCUAUCUAUCUAUCUAUCUAUCUAUCUAUCUAUCUAUCUAUCAAGCUAUGUCUGUAAAAACAAAUAGGAAUUUUUAUAUGUAUGUAUAUGUAUAUACUGUAUAUAUAUAUAUUUAUGUAUGGAGUCACAAUGUCACAUGUCAUGAUACACAAUACUAAAAUGAUACCUAAACUGAAGUCUCUGUAUGUGUAAUACCUUAUAGACCUUUUAUUCUUUAUAAAGAAUGUGGGGGAAUACCUCAACUUACAAUCUACUGGAAGUACCCAAACUUCAAAAUAAAAGCCCCAAUUUACAUGCAGGAAGUAAAGCAACUGAAAAGCAAGACAGAAAACAAUCUAUACAAAAGCAGGAAACAUAAUUGUGCUAUGAAGCAAUAUGUUUAGAGAGGAACUGGUCAAGUAGCUGGUUGUGUGGAUAAAUCAUAAAUGUGACCAUUUUUAGAUACAACUGAUAUUUGGAAGCAACAUUCCUCUGGUAGUAAAAAUGAAAACUUUUCUGUCCAAAUGUAGAAUUUGGAUUAUUAGAAACUGCAUCAUAAAAUGAGUUUAAUAUUUUUGAUCAAACCUGUGAGACACACUAGUGGAAAAAAUAAAAUCCAGAGGGGAAGAUGUACAGGCAGCAGAGUCAAAGUAGCACCCUUUUGAUUGGUUAAUUUUACUGGCCAUCUGUAAAAUAAAAGAAAGCAGCUGUAUCUAUAUGUAAUUCUUAUAAAAUUAUAACAAUUAGAAUAGAUUUUUAAAAAGUUGGUGGGUUGGUUUUGUGGAUAAAUACUGAAUUUAAACAUUAUUUGAAAUGGAUGAUAGCAUGAAGGUUAGUUGAGUUUCAUAGUGGAGGUUAUUAAGCUACGGGCGACUCCAUCCAUGUACUACCUUUCUUUAAUUUGAUUGUCUCUUUUUGUAUUUCUCAAAUUUUCCAUAAAUAUUGUGAUAAUAUUAUUUUCAUGAAACUUAAUGAGCAUGCUAAUGAUGAGGUGAAAACCUGAUACAUUACCUUCCCUGCAGGUUUAGAGUAAACGUUAGGGGCACCGCUGCUCUGGUAACAGCUGGCAUUUCAGGCCACACAGUAAACUGGCACAGAGACAAGAUGCUGAUACUCAAACUCAAACACUGGCACUGAAAACCAGAUGGCAUAACUGAACAUCUGUCCCGAGCAUCAGUCCCAGGUAUCUACAAUAGCAGCAUCUUGUGCUUUUUCACAGUCAUGUGAACUCUCAGCACAGUUAACUCUGGUGUAGGGCUUCACUCUUAUCAUAUUACUGUCAUUAGGUGUAAUCAAAGAAUAAAAGCUGCAGUCUGAAACUUUUCUAGCACAGAGUUGGUGCACACAGGCGUGUUAUCAAAUAUGGAUUAACUUAACAUGUUUAGGACUUUGAAAUUCACCAUAAAAGAGUCUUAAGAAAAAAAAAACAGCACCAGAAGUGCAUAUUUUUUUCAGUUGAUUUCCUAUGGGAUUUAUGAGUGGCAAAUAAAAGGAGCAGGUUUGAAAUACUUCCUGUGGGUUUGCUGCUUUGACUUUUACAGGUUCAUGGCUCUUGCAGAGUCAGUGAGAUGGACGAUGUUGUAGAGGCUGUUUCCUUCAUGUUCACUUCAGAGUAACUCAUGUCAUACUCCAGUCGAUAAAACCUUUAAAUUCAGUGUCUGAGCCUUCCUUUCUGCUGACAGCACUGUUUUGUGUCUUAAUACAUUUUCUCCGAUACAUCCCCUCUUUGUUUGCAAUAUAAUCUGUCUAUUUAUCUCCCUUACCAAGCUCAGCAGCAGAGACUGUCCCAUGACACACACAAGCUGCACAGAAAAAAAAGAGCUCUGUGCCAAUCUGUAUCAUCAGUGUUGGUAAACACCCUGCUAGACAAAAAACAUGUGAUGAUGAAAAUGAUGCUGCCCUGAUGAUGACGAUGUGUACCAGACACAGUAAAUCUGCUCCAGUGGAUCUGUGUUGUCCACAGUAAGCCUUUUUAACAGACCGGUUUGUCCACUAUCAGGGAAACACAAAAACCCACCCAGACAUCACAUGGGUGCUCAAAUAAACGCAGUGUAGACAGCCGUAAAGGUUUGCCGCUUCAAAUCAAAUUCUGUAAUUUACUUAGCCUAUGUACGCUAGCUAAAGGAGGGCGACAUAGAGAGGCAGGGUUUAGAUACUGCUACCUUGGAGGACCUCUGAUGGAUGAACUCUGUGUAGGAGGUUUCCUCUCUACAGUAUGUACGUACCAGGGCUGGGAACUUGGUGUACUUACAAAACAAUUAUGAUUACUGAGGACACAGUUUGAAGCAGUACAAUAGCGUGGCUCAUGUAUAUAGAAGUCCUCAAAUAGCUGCCUGGGCUCAACCCCAACCCCUCUAUUGGAUUAAUGCUUUUGGUCCCACCAGGAGGAGGAUUUAAGGAGUGACUUGCUGAGUCUGUUAAAAGGGAAAUAUUACUUUUAAAUUAGAUAUUUAUAUUUUGUGACAGUGACUCGCUUUUACGUAAAUGUUUUAUUCAUUGAUGAAUUCAUCAUGAAUCUGAUGACAAUAGAUCUGCGACGAAAGCUUUGAUUUUAGCAUGACUUCAGUCGGUCUCCAAACCAAAGAUGAACAGAUACAAGUUUGUUAUGUUAAAUAGCAAAUAGUGAGAGGAAGACAUGACAGCCAGAUGAAAUUAUAAUCAGAGACUUUGCUGUAACAUGAAUCUGAAUCACUGUAACAAUUACAGUAGCCAAGCUCAGUGCUUUCCAAGAGGACAUAUUUUGGAGUUUAAAAAGAUCUGACAGUGUUCAGUUUUGUUUUGGAUUGUAACUGAAAUAGAGCCCAAGUGGGACAGUUUAGAGCAGUGGUUCCUGACCUUUUCCAGUUACCCAUGUGGUACAGCCUGCGGGUGAAUACAAUUACAGCAUCACGUGUCUAAAACAACUAAAAAUAAUGUCCCUGGUAAAGGGGUUAUUGUAAAAUAAAACACAAAUCUGAAUCAGGAAUUUUCAUUUUUGUUUAGGCUUAUUUGGCUUAUGUGUUAUGACCAACUAUUACUUGUUUUCCAUCAGACCUCCGUCUCUUGUUUUUUUUUUUUUUUUUAAAUUGCUCCACAGGUCAUGUUAAACCCUGUUUGAAUACACUAUGUUAGCUGCUGAAGAGGAAAAAUGAGCUGACUUUUUAAAGCUUUCACUGUGUCCUCCGAGUGAACUUUGAUGAUGUAAAAACAAAAUGCUAAAAAGUUUCAAGGUACAGUGCACACUUUAUACCGGGAUGAGCACUUGAGUCUGAGUCUCUCAAAAUUAGCUCAGUUAGGGGGCAGGACUAGUCCCCUCUGCAGAGAACUGUAGCUCAUCUAGGGUCCUGUGUCUGCCAGCAGUUUGUCAGUAAAGGAUCCAGCAUACAGUGAACUCUCAUGUAACUCAUACAACUUCACUUCAAAAUACUGAGAGAACCCUUUAAGAGCUUUGAGGAACAACCAUGAAAUAUUAUCACACAUUUUUUUCUGACAGGUCAGCCUUUGUUGCCCUCAGGUGUACCUAACCUAACCAUUAUAAACCUGCUUUGUAGCUUUUACAGAAGCAGGUCAAUGAGAUAAAUAGAGGCAGAGAUAGAUGGGAAAGUGAUGAGCGUCUCAGAGCACAAACUGAGGGAGGACUGAUUGAAGUUACCACCGAGUGAAUGUACUUUACAUAAAGCCUGACUGAACACAGCAUAAACGGGCUGUACUGUGAGCUCACAAACAGUAUUAUAGAAGAGCCUGGGGGCGCCUCCGUGGUACUAGUUCCUCUGGAAUGUUCUGUUCUUUUCUGCAGAGGCGGGAACAUCUUUAUUUAAUGCAGCCUCUAUUAAAUUAGUGUUAAACGCCAGCUGUAGACAUGUAUCUCCCACACGGAAAAUUAAACAUCUAUCAGUCAGCCAAGGACGGCCCUCUCUCCUUAUGACAGCUGAUAGAGGUCUUAAAUUGGCGUUGAGAAUUAUCAGUAGUUAUGUUGUGUGUGAGUCUUUAUGUUUAAAGAAAUAUGCACUUUAAACAUGAGUGAGGAUAAAGCAGGACAUGUGACAGAAGUUAGUGCUCUCGCUUCAUGAGCAAACUUGAGAGGUUCAGCAUUAAGCAUCAUGGUUCAAUUAAACCUUAACUUCUCUUCAAUGUACAUUUUAAAAUUACACAGCUUCUCCUCGACAGUUUGUCCUUCUCCAGAGAGUUGUAUUCAAAAGUCUUUUCUCUCCCCCAGGCUGAGGAUUUGGUUUCGGUCAAGUUCAAAUGCUCUCUUUGGUUUCAAGUGGCUCUUUAGCGGUUCAGUUUAGCUGUGAUUUAUGUGAGUUAUGUCAGCUGCUUGGAUUUAAUGACUGCAUAUCAUUCACUCAAGCUGAAAUAUUCAACCGAGAAUUGAAUUGACUUACGUUAAGUUUUUCCAUGGCAACACUCAAGUCUAACAAGUCAGGAGUCUUUUGUUAAGUGUGUUUUCUCUGCCCUCCCUGAUCUCUAUCAUUGAUGUUACUAUGGUUUUCUUACACUGUUAUGAGUCUCAACCAUAUGAGAAAAACUCAGGUUAAAGUCUUUAUUCUGUCUGUGGUUAUUCAAAGAGGUGUAGAGAGGAAGGUGCUCAGAGACGACCCCAGGAGAAACAGACAAUUCUGACUCUAGAUUAAAGAGUAUGGCUGCAUGAUGUUUUGGCCUAAAAAGAAGUGCUGCUUGUUCAAACUAUACCUGAGCUGCUUUGCUGGAAAUAUAAUACAACAAGAACAAGGUACUUUUCUACUACACUUUGUUUUCCAGAACUUUAUACCUAUAUAUGCUUGAAAAGCAGAACGUUGUUAAAAGAUUAGCCUGAAUGGCAAACAAACAAACAAAAAAAACAUGCUGUGAUUUGUGUCUUGCUGCCAAAGUCUUGUAGGGCCAGUGAAGGCAUGAUGUUGACAUGGAUACAGAGUCGAGUUGUGAAAAAAAUCAGGGAGGAUGGUGGAUUUUAUUGUUCUGAUGACAGUGCACAUGGAGGAGAACCAACUGUGUGCCCAUUUUAUUGUGACUAGCACACAAAGAUAAUUAUUAUACAACAUAAUCCCACAGAUUGCGCUGUCCAUGUUGCUUGGCCAUGAUACUCUAAUCGCAACAGCAUCGCCAGCGCUGCUCAUUGAUAUCACUUUUUUAAAAGAAAGGAAAAAUAGUGUCAUUUUCACACAUGCCACCCCACCCAGAGUCUUUUAUUUAAUAUGCGCAAAGCCCCCUGUCGCAGGGUUCUCGCUCAAACAAUCACAAUAUAGUGGAAAGACACAGGCAUAGCGGAAAAUCCGGUGAUGGUGAUAGGAUUUAUUUUCAGCCCGCCUCACAAGGUGCAGUGCAAAAAUAAGUACAAAAGUGCAAAAAAAAAAAAAAAAAGGUCAAAUACUAUUUACAAAAUGUACAAGGCCAAAAAAAAGAAAAUGCCAACAAGGCAAGAGUUCCACUAUAACUCAAGAUUCUCACUGAAGAGAAAAAAGAAAACAGAAACACAGUAACAAUACUAAAAUCAGUUUAGCAGUUACUUUCCAUACAACAAAGUCCAGUCUCGAAGAAAGGAAGGCCCAGGAAGCCCUCCGUUAACCCUCCUAGCCCCUCCUAGUGGGCGUUAGUAAGUUUGGAUAAAACUAAUUUAUUCACAUAUAAACAAUUUUUUACUAUUUUUAACCUUCAGAUCUUUUUCUGUAAGUUUUUGCCAUUUUUAAUAAGUUUUUACUUAGAUUAAUGGAGCAUUAAUUUUUAAGGAUUUGUGGCAAGCAACAAAGAAAUUAUUUUUUCUUGCAUCAUGUGACCACUUUGACCCUCCAUACCCACCUAUUUUACACACGGAAAUAAUGCGCUCUGUUUUCCUCAUGCGGAAACAUGAGCCGGCAUGAUAGCGUGAAUGGACGCCCGGCAAGUAAGUGAAGGGAUAAAUAUCUUUGUGAAUUUAUGUUUAAGUUGACCGAUAGAGCUCCAAGUGUGCAACCUUGGUUCCCUAUCCAACAGAGAGAAGGGAAAAUAGCGCUGUUUAGAGGGUAAUUAGCGACGCUGGCGGGGAGGAAAAUGUUUGGCGUGCACGUGUGUGUGUGUGUGUUUGUGUUGCUCCAUGCGCUGCCCGCAGUCAUAGAGGACGUCACUCCUUCACACACGCUUAAAAGUUGAAAUUGCGGUGAUAUUUCUAAUGUUAAGAUAGUAGUAAUGUUUCCAUAUUCAUUGACAUAAGUGGCUCAAGUGAUGAAAAGUUGGUAUGACCGUUGUAGAAGGGGUAUAAUUUUGACCAUUUUCACUUCAAUGGGCCAACCCCCUCAACUCCAGUACUGGAUACAGUAGGGGAGAGUGGGGUAAGUUGUGCCACCCCCUGUUGCUCGGAAAUGGUAAAAGAAAUUGAUCAUGUGACCAGAUGUUUAGGAGAUGGGCAUCAAUUCAUUGAGUCUGUGAAGGUUAGAAGCACAUGGGUGAAGGGGUUAGACAUUUAUUUCCAAAAAACAUUUUUAACUCUUGAAAGUGAAUUUUAGAAGUUAUAAUGAAUUAUUGUCCCAGUUUAAUAGCAUUAAUUAGAUAAAAAUACACAUAAUUUAUCCCAUAAACGGGAAAAGUUGACCAUAGGAGACCACUUUUUUUGUCACGCUAUAUUUUCAAGACAGUUAUGUUUUCACUCAUUCUGUUAUAUAGAUAGAUAGAUAGAUAGAUAGAUAGAUAGAUAGACUUUAUUGAUCCCAAACUGGGAAAUUCUCAAAUUCUGUUGGUUUGUAGGGAUGCACAACAUCUUGAAAUAUAUGCAGAUACACUAGUUAAGAGACAAACCUAUGAUUGCCUUGAUGUUGUGAUCCGAGAUAUGAAAAAUGGCUCAUCUUACCCCACUCUCCCCUACUGGAUGCAGUUCGUUAGAACUGAUGCUUCUGCAUAUCUGACAGUUUGAGUGUAAAUCUGACUUUGUUUUUGUAGUUUUGAAAUACUCUGCUUUUUUUCACUGUGGGGAUGAGAUAAGAGUUGUUUAAAAGAAAUGAUUUUUCCAGUAGUUUAACUGGAUAUUUGACAAUUUUAAGGGUAAGAAAGCACAUGGAAAGCAGUCAAAAUUAGGCAGCAAACCACAGAGGGUAUCACAGAGUCUGUAAAAUUAGUUUGUGGCUUUCAGAGCUAGCAUCAACAGCCUUGGGUCCUCUGAACAGGUUUGUGGAUGUCACAUCAACCGGAGCUGCUAUUAUUACUCAUGUAAUCUUUCAUUUAGCUUAGUAGUAGCUGUAAUACCAAAGCGAAACUGUGCGUCACUUUUUAACAAGUUAGCCCAACUUAGUGUGCUGUUAGGUGGAAAAAGCUUCUGUUGGGGCCAAACGGGAUAUCUGAUUUAAAUAAUAAAUUUAAUUUAUGGUAAACUAGCUUAAGGAAAGAAAAUUAAUUUAAAGCUGGUAUUAAUUUUCUUGCCUGCCUAAUUGUCAAUAUUUUUAGUUGGCAUUUAAUUUGAAGUAAUCAUACUGUCAUUUUUACCUGCUGCCCAUCCCUGUGUACCUGAGUCACUGACUGCUGCAGGUGAUUUAGUGUGAUUAGUGACACCUGGCCAGACGGCUGAGCCUGGGAGUGGAAAAGCUUAUUGACUGCAAAGAGCGAUAUAUAGUUACCUUUAUAGUUACCUUUAAUUUACUUUAAUCCGUAGAGUGACACGUGUAAAUCCUUUAUUUUCCUUGGAAAUAAACCUUGGAAGUGACUCUGGAGCCGCGGCUAAUUUUGUUUGGACUGUGUGUAUUAGACCCACUCGUCAGUGGUUUUCUUUGGAGACUUAAAGCCACUACAGUUUCUUUAUUGAAAAAAACAAAAACCAGCAGGCUGCUUUUCCUUAAAACAAGGGUACUUGCUGUGAACUGAUGCUCUAAAUCUUCAGAACUUUGCUGUGGUCUUUGCUGAUCUGGUCCUGGAUGUGUCUAAGAUGUGUUUUGUUUUUCAUUUUCUGAGACAUAUCUCCUCCUCCUUUGUUUAGACAGUAAAAAUGCAUCCAUCUUCCAGAACCUUUUUUUUUUUUUUGUUGUGCACACUGUUGUUGUGACGAAAAACGCUGAUUCAGCAGCGUGCUCAGAAUCAGUUUGUCUGACACCUACCCAGCGGCAGCAGUCUCAGGCAUUUGAAAUUAACCGUAGAGAAAUGAUCAAUCUUUAUGCUGAUGCUAUUCGAGGCUCCUGGAGGUCAUAAAGGAUUAAAUCCAGUCUGUUUCAUAACCAGCUAGAAAUUCCUUACAGGAUCUUUAAACAAAAACAAUGAGAUACGACAUGAUAAAAUAAUACGGGGGGCUUCAAGGGUGGGUUUAUCAAUACAAUUAUAUAUUCACAGAUUGAUGAACACAAACCACGAGGGAGUUUGCAUCCACACACCGCUCUCUAGCACUUUUAACAUCAUUACUGCGACUGCGUCUUCUUGUGACAUUCAAUUCCUCGAAUACUUCUAAUCAAAUGAUCACAAACUCUGAGGAAAUGGCGCAUCAUCUAGUUAGUGUGCCUUUAAGCUUUCAGACGACACUGAUUGACCUAGAAGGAACUUAUCAAUCAAUAAAUCAACAUUUGUUUAUCUGCAGUCGACUGAGAUGCAGCCAAGUUCAGGACCUGAGUGUUUCUGCUUCCUCCUCUAUUUUCAGCCCCUCACCACCGAGCAGGACAGUAUCGUGAGUGUAGGCAUGUGUGCCGUGGCUGCGUUCAGGACUCUCUGUUCUCUCUCUGUUUCUCCUCCCUCUAUCUCUUACUCUAAUGCUGCGCAGUCUCUUUCUCUCAGCAGCAUCUCAGGGGGAUGGUAUUGUUUUAGGGGAUAAGAGGAAAGACUAAAAAAACUGCUUUAGAGGGAUAAGAGAAAGACUUCAUAACAAGCUCUCAUCCCUCCAGGGAGGAUUCUCGCACACGCACGUUCACAAAUGUUGUCAGAGGGUAGACACAGAUUCACGCAGUACAAAACACGCACACACAUAAAAUCUCUGCCCUAUAGAGAAAGGAACAUGGACUGGCGUCAGGAGUGGCCACAACAGGAAGCGGUCCAGGGCUUACAUUAAAAGGAUGGACUCCCUGCUUAGAAUGAACUUCUACAGAGGAGGUCGGGGUCUUUGCUCCUCCCCUCGGGGGGGGGGGUUUGGACAAGUGCAGUAAAGUUCACAUCAUGACUCUUGAAUAGGAACUUCCUAGACAUCAACAUAUGAGGGAAAUGGAAGAGAUUGGGGGGGGCAGCAUUGUGUCCUGCACUGAGCUCAAGAAGAUGAAGUGAAAGGAUGGAGCUCCAAACGUGGAUUCACCAGCUGCCAUAGCUUUACAUUGUGCCCCUGUAAGCCGUCUCUGGAGAAGGAUUAUGCCGAGCCAACUCUUGAAUAUUUUUCCACAACUCACUGAUGGAGCUGUUAUCAUUGGUCACCGACUUUUCUUAUCAGAUACAUCGUCUGAUAGUCUGAUAAUAAGGGCCUGUAGCAGACCUGGUUUCUCCAGCAGAAAGCAGCUUUGAUGUAGUGAUCUACAGCCUGGAGUGCAAGAGAAGAUUCACCAUGACUAUUCAGACACAGUGAAAGACUGCACUGCCCUUUCUUCUCCCAAAACUCGUCUUACAGUGAAAAUAACCGAGCUGAGUCUUCCUCCUUUGUGUAGCAGCUCUCCAGGAUCAUAAGCUUUCAAUCUAAUGAGACUCUGCGCUGCUAUUUAUUGGCAGGAAAUUUGUGGUACAAUGUGAUAAUGCAUUUUCUAUUGAUCGUCAUGUGAUCCAAACUACGGCUGUCAUCAUACUGGAUCUGGACCUCAUGAUUAUCUUGGCCUCAAAAUAUCUGAUAUCCUGUCAGAUUUUGAAGAAAAACUUGAAAACAAAUCAUGGUCAGUCAAAUUGAGGGAGGUAUGGAAGAGGUUUAGGGCCACAUGAAAAGAAAGAAAAUCAUUACAGGAAGAAGAUUAAAGUAAAAAAUUAAAGAUUUGAAAAAUUCAAAAGUACAUUAAUAAUGUCAAAUUUUCAAGAUUCAAAUCCUGACAUUUCGACUUUAUUCACCUAAUUUCGAUUUCUUAAAUCUCAAAAUCUCGACUUUAUUCAUGUUAUUUUGAUUUUUUUAAUUACCAAAUUUCAAUUUUUUCAUUUUUAACUUUUUAAAAUUUCAACUGUAAUCUUGAAAUUUCAACUUAAACCCAAAUCAUGGCCAGAAAAUUCCAAUUUUUUUUGGAGCUGUAAUGUUUAUUUCACUUAACUGAAAACCAAAAAAAUCAAAAUGUCCUUAUAAAUAACAAAUAUAUACAUAUUUAUCUUGUUUGAUACAUUAGAUGUCUUUGAAAACUGGUAAACCACAAGAGGACAUUUUUAUCAUGUAUCGAGCUGGGUUCAGAUGUUUUUAUUAGUAAUUUAUUAUAUUGAUUUGAUAGAAGUAACAUAAAAGUAUGUAUCAAAUAUGAUACAAAAGGCAUUAAAGGGUUAAUCUCGAAAUGAAAAUGAAAAAAAAUCUUCCUCCUGUAAUUAUUUUUUAUCCUCUUUCACAGGGAUGACAUGACAUGACAAGACAUGGAAGGCAUGACAAGGCUGGAGUGGCCUUACUUUAUAAACUUAACUAAUAAACAUAUCAGAGUGGGCUAAAUGUGUUUUUCUGUCCACACUCAUAUUGUGUCUAAGCAUGUGUUAUUGCAGUAAAAAGCUUGCUGCAGUAUCUGUGAAACCUUGUGCGUCUUUAUCUGGAGAGAUCUUUUAUUCCUGAUGAUGGGUAGGUGUGAUGAGUACACAGCAGCUCAGGGUGAGGAUGUGUUGGUGAGAGUAGCUAUAGAGGCCAUGCUAGACUCAUCGUAGAAGGUUAAUGGAGUGGAGUCAGCACAUACCCUGACACUGUAGGUCAGCUUUAGUAGACGCCUCAGCCUUAGUACAGACAGCCAAUUUGGCUUGUUAGAAAAUUAAGUGUUCCGACUUCAAAUCAAGCAGCGGGUAGUCCAGUGGAGAUGUCAGGAUAAGCUGCAUCGGUGGCUGUUUUGAGUUAUUGGAGUCAUGCGAUAUGACUCCAGGCACAAAUUGUUCCUUAUAUAAAGGGUCUAAACAUUUAGAUUGAGGGCGGAUUUUUGUCUUCCUUCUUAUUUAGACUAAAUCAGCUUAACAUGUAUCAAAGAGGCACACACACACACACACACUCACAUUCAGUGUCCUAUAUUUUCCCCAGGCUCACAUAAUAAAAUACUAAAUUAAAAAUUAAAGCAGAAAGAGCUGAUGUUCCCCGCUGAGUUUAAAGUGAAACGUUAGAUGGGUAAAAUAAGGAGCUGCUCGAGCUUGUUGUCAACCUCUAGACAAGUUUUUACCCUUAAUGUCAGAGAUGAUACAUUUCUAAUCUACUGAUACACUGCAAACAUUACAGACCUCUCGGGUUGUCAGGGACAGGUCUCAUUUCUUUCCCCAAAACCAGAAGAAACAUGAAGAGAGCUGAUCAGUUUUGAUGCUCCAGUCGGUCCAGAUGAAGUCUCAUUUCCCUUCAUUAAAGGCUGGAGACUCAUCUGUUCACAGAAGUCUUUGAUUCAAUUUUUAAAAUACAUUUAUUGAAUGAGUAUUUCAGCUAUAUAUCACUGCGCUGUGACUUGAACACACGUUUUAUUAAAGUAUGGCUUCUGUGAUAACUGUUUUUAAUUUAUCAUCCUUGUUUCUUUAAUGGCUUGUUUUAAACACUUUAAUUAUUUCAUUAGUGUAGAGCACUUUCUCCUGAUUGGGUGCAGUAUAUGUCAUUAAUCUCACUUUAAUGACAGUUACAAAGGGAAAAAAAAUCAUAUACAUCUUUCUCACACGUGGUUUUUUGUCAUGAUAUGUUACUCUUCAUGUGCUGAUUUAUGCGCACGUGUUCAGUUUUCUGAGAAGUUAUUUGAUUUAGAAAAGAACAGAUGUGACAUCAUGAUUGACAGCUCUGGCUGCAGCUGUAGGCUUAAGCAUGAUGAACUGGAUCAGCAGAGUCGAGGAGGUAAGGGAGAAAUAUCCGUGCACUAACACAGUGUUUCCCAAAGUGUGCAGCAGCCUCCCCUGGGAGGGUGGAGGCAUGGUGAAGAGAAUGCAGGAAAAAUCCAUUUAUUCCCUAUAGAAAUAGUUUCAUUAAUGGUUUGUUGUAUUUAUACUGCAUCGUUUUCAAAUUAACUGGGAAAACUUGGAUGUCUGUGUUGAUGCUUGAUAGCUAACAGGCUACCUGUGACAAGUGACAAAAGGAAAACACCAGGACUAAGAAUGACACGUCAUGUAGAAAAAAAAUACUGUGAUGGAGAACAUGGUGUUUAUUUCAUUUCAAAGUUAAAUCCAUCAAACUAUAAAUUCAUGUUGACCUGUUCUCUGUGUAAUAAUCUCAAACUGAUGAUAAUUUGUAUUGUUUCAGAUUUCCCGCACUGGCGCUGGAGUUGUACAUCUUUGUUCAUGUUGGCGCCUUCCCACCUGAUGUGUGUGUCAACAAAGAACACCAGCCUCCAUCUUCUCAUCACCAGGUUGGUUCUGGUUUUUUUGUCCUUAAUAAAGAGGACUGUCCCGGUCCUUUUGAUUAUGAUGAAUGGUAGACAUGGUACUAAGUUGACCGAUUGGCAUAUCUAAGAUCAAAGGUUAGCAUGACUGUCCAUGUAAACAUGUGUGAAUGUUUGGACCCCAGGAAGAAUAGUCUUCACAGUAGUGAGGACUAAUGGGGAUCCGCAAUAAACAAUAAACACCAAGGUCUAAAGGUGGGGUAGGCAGGAUCUGAGAAAAUGCCAGUUUUUGGGAGAAAUCUUGAAUGUAAACACUACCCCUCCCAACAAGCUUUCCCCUCAGCUCCUCCUCUCCCCUCCCUCUCUGCUCCAGCAAGCCCCGCCCACAAACAAACGCUCCUGCUCGCUUGUAUCGUUUCAAUGAAAUUCAGAUAUAAUGCAGAUAAAUACUUCAGAUUAUUAAAAAUGGGGCCCAGUCGAUGUGAAAGUAAAAUGCAUUGGUGCCAACAGACUACCAGCAAACACAAUGUUUGCAGAACUUCUACAACUAGGAUAAAGUGACAAAGUCCAGGGGCCUAUUCUACGAAGCAAGCCCUGAGCUUACCCUCGAAGUUACCUUGCUAGGCAGUAAUCCUGCAUCGUAGAAUAGGCCCCAGGACCCGAGGUAAACAGUUUAGUAGCGCUACAACAUGCAGCAGGUCUUGUUUGACAAGAAGCACUUCUGUUACAGACACUUGGCUUGACAAAGUGGUUUACCUGUCCAGCAGGUAAACCGCAGGGUCUGUACAGAGUCCGUAAGAUCCCAAAGUGUUCACUGAUGUUGAUCCGGCUUUUUAGUUCUUGUCCGAGUGGUCUACCUCCUUUUUAAGCGCCCGUUAUUCCAGCAGAGUCUCAGGCAUUUACUUCGUUUUCUUGCUUGUGUUGGCAGUCGUGGCCAAAGAUGCUUCUGGUUGGUUUCUACUGUCCGAUAUUAUUGCACACUAACUUUGUUUGGGCUUGUGCAUGUUAUUGGAGGAUGUGGAGCCUGCCUCACAACAUGAGGGAGCAGCGUCUGCCUCACAACCAAUCAGCACUGAGGAGCAGCAUUCGCCUUACAACCAAUCAGGUUAGGGGAGGUGGAGAAUGGCUUUGUUUACAGUCAGAAAGAGUGGACCGCUCAAAAAAUUUAAAAUGUUGACUACACAGACAUAACAAAACAGCGAUAUCACGAUAUUCCCAAAUGUCAUCAAUAAGUAAGAGCUAUUGACUGAUAUUAAAAGCUUUUUUGUAUAUACACCAUAAAAAAUUAACGGAAUCCUACCUACUCUUCCUUUAACUCUGACUUUUUAAAAUCGUAGCAGUGGGGACACAUUUUCAAAAUGAUACAGAUCAUCAUGAUGAAAUACUUUCAGCAGGAUACACUAUAAAGCUUCAAAGUGCCACAGCAGUAACAUCUAAUUAUUAAUUAUAGAUCUCAUCUAACAGCUCAGGUGUGAAAUCACAUUUAGUUACGAUAAGAAAAAGCUGGCUAGAGAAAGGUUAUCUAAAAGUGAAACACACUCACACAUCGAUUCACAUACAAAUGGAAUUUCUCACCCCUGUAUCUGUAACUGUCUGUCUCCAGUUUGAUUAGUUUGGGCUGAAACUUGGAACGGACAGUCCAUCAAGUGUAUCAUAGUUUCAAGGCCUAAUAGAGCUGGAAGUUUCUCAAUCCUGAAGUGUAAGUCUCAUUGAGAAGAGCUCCCAAGAACCCUUCCACAUACCCAGACUCCAGACCCUACAUUUCCUGCAGCCAGCAGAGCCAUCUGGCUCAGUCAGGCUUCCUGUGCUCAGAGAGACUCAGUGGAGCCUUAAAUGUAAACAGGUUUUUUUCAUUUCAUCAAAAGAAGGGAAAUAAGUUCUCCUUUCUCAUAUUUAUGUUGUGAGUUUGUAUUACAGAGCUUUUCAUCUAUAAGUAAGGUUAUCAAACGCUGCUGUUCAUGGUCCCUUACUCUCUCUGUGGUUUGAUCCAAUCAGCGCACAGCGAGGAGGGGUGUAACACACCAUACAUUGAUGGGCAAAUGGUUGUUGACAGAAGCUUCAUGGGAGGUUAAUCCAUGGUCCUUGACAACAUCACUUUAGUCACAGUUAGUGCCGGACAGCAACCAUUGAAUCUCUGUCACGAAGAAUUUUGCUAUAAUCAUACCAGUUAAUGUGAGUCUGAGUAUAUUCAGUAAUAUGGUGAAAUAGAGACAGAGCCUGUCAUGUCAUAUUCAAACAAACCACUCCAACAAGAAGAGGAAUGGCAAUGAUAAGAUCCAAGUUUGUUUUUUUGAUAUAAUUCUGCAGGUAUUGAACACAAAAACCAGGUCUGGCUUGUCAUCUGAGACACUGUGAGCCACCUGUUUGUAAUCACACUCCCUGCUCACCUGGUUGUCUGCUUGCUGAUUUCCUUCUGGCGUGCCUGAUUCUCCAUCCAUUGCUGUCUAUGCUUUGAUGGUGAUCCUCCCCACUGGCAGCCUGUGUCCCACUGCCUGCUGCUGGAUCUGGCUGCCUGUCUGUGGCCCGUUUCCUAUUGCCUACCUGCUGUUGGGUUUUUGGCUUCCUCACCUUAGAGUGGCCUGCUUCUACUGGCUACUAUUAACCUGUAAGUUAGAAGAGUGCACUGGGGAAGGUAUACUCUCUGCCGAUCAAGCCCUGUGUGUUCACUCGCAAUAUUUUCAAGGAACAGCAUGAAAAUAACCAGAGACAUCUUGUUGUGGACUCUUCUAAUAAUGUAGUUGUUUUGUAGACUCUGACAGGACGUUCUUGCACUAUCACCCUUCCCGAUGUAUAUAACUACUACAGAGUCAUCAGACAACUUCUGAAGGGCCCCGGCGUUGCUUACCACUCUGUCUGACACACAAUGUUGUUAGCAUACAAACUGUGGUCUGCCAGUCAACGAUCCAAAACAUGUGAAGAGCCUCCAUCAGCAUUAGGGUUAGCAGGUAGAGUUCCAGGAUGAGUCUCUUCAGGGUCUUCGUAAUGUGAGAUAUCAACACCACUGGUCUACAGUCCCUGGAGCUGUUGGGACGUGGCUUGUUCGGCACUGGGACAAAGCAGGACAUCUUCCACAGCAAUGGGAUCCUCAUGGUGAAGACAAAGUGAAUCAGUCCACAGAGCUGUGGGGCGUUCUGGGGCUGACACCAUCAGAGCCAGCAGCCUUGCCAGCAUGGAGGGGGCUGCUAUAGGACACCCUCAGCAAUUAAAGAUGCACUUCCUUCUUAUGAGCAUUAAAUGAUAAUGAAAUUGUUCUGAUGGGGGAUUUUAAUUGGAAUUGGCAGGGUCUAGUGGCUGAUGACUUCAAUGCACAAUGUGACUCUUUGAAUCUCUUCCAGACUGUAAAUAAGCCAACUUGGCCCAAUCUGAAAUGUCCUGAAAAGUCAUUAUUCCCUUAGAUUUUCUCCCGUAUCCCUUUUUUAUGAAUGACAUGAGUGAUCACUGUGCUAUUGCCACAGUUAGAAAUGGCAUGAUCCCUAAAACCAAACC